UAGAGUUUGAUCCUGGCUCAGGAUGAACGCUAGCUACAGGCUUAACACAUGCAAGUCGAGGGGCAUCGAGGCGGUAGCAAUACCGCUGUCGGCGACCGGCGCACGGGUGAGUAACGCGUAUCCAACCUACCCUCCAGUAGGGCAUAGCCCGUAGAAAUGCGGAUUAAUACCCUAUGUUGUAUUUUGAGGACAUCUGAUGAAUACCAAAGGUUUACCGCUGGGGGAUGGGGAUGCGUCUGAUUAGGUAGUCGGCGGGGUAACGGCCCACCGAGCCUUCGAUCAGUAGGGGUUCUGAGAGGAAGGUCCCCCACAUUGGAACUGAGACACGGUCCAAACUCCUACGGGAGGCAGCAGUGAGGAAUAUUGGUCAAUGGGCGAUGGCCUGAACCAGCCAAGUAGCGUGCGGGAUGACGGCCCUAUGGGUUGUAAACCGCUUUUGCAGGGGAAUAAAGUGCGGUACGCGUACCGUUUUGUAUGUACCCUGAGAAUAAGGACCGGCUAAUUCCGUGCCAGCAGCCGCGGUAAUACGGAAGGUCCGGGCGUUAUCCGGAUUUAUUGGGUUUAAAGGGAGCGCAGGCUGGAUAUUAAGCGUGACGUGAAAUGCCGCGGCUCAACCGUGGAAGUGCGUCGCGAACUGGUGUCCUUGAGUGUAUUCGACGUCAGCGGAAUUCGUGGUGUAGCGGUGAAAUGCUUAGAUAUCACGAAGAACUCCGAUUGCGAAGGCAGCUGGCGAGGCUACAACUGACGCUAAAGCUCGAAGGUGCGGGUAUCGAACAGGAUUAGAUACCCUGGUAGUCCGCACGG
rnacentral:rRNA from 1 species